rnacentral:rRNA from 1 species
UACAGAGGUCCCAAGCGUUGUUCGGAUUUAUUGGGCGUAAAGGGUGCGUAGGCGGCGGAGUAAGUUGGGUGUGAAAUCCCGGGGCUCAACCUCGGAAUUGCAUUCAAUACUGCUUCGCUCGAGUACUGGAGAGGAGGCUGGAAUUUACGGUGUAGCAGUGAAAUGCGUAGAUAUCGUAAGGAAGGCCGGUGGCGAAAGCGAGCCUCUGGACAGUUACUGACGCUGAUGCACGAAGGCCAGGGGAGCGAACGGG